GACGAACGCUGGCGGCGUGCUUGACACAUGCAAGCCGAACGGUAAGGCCCUUCGGGGUACACGAGUGGCGAACGGGUGAGUAACACGUGGGUGAUCUGCCCUGCACUUCGGGAUAAGCCUGGGAAACUGGGUCUAAUACCGGAUAGGACUCCUGGCUUCAUGGUUGGGGGUGGAAAGCUUUUGCGGUGUGGGAUGGGACCGCGGCCUAUCAGCUUGUUGGUGGGGUAAUGGCCUACCAAGGCGACGACGGGUAGCCGGCCUGAGAGGGUGACCGGUCACACUGGGACUGAGAUACGGCCCAGACUCCUACGGGAGGCAGCAGUGGGGAAUAUUGCACAAUGGGCGCAAGCCUGAUGCAGCGACGCCGCGUGAGGGAUGACGGCCUUCGGGUUGUAAACCUCUUUCAGCUAUGACGAAGCGCAAGUGACGGUAGUAGCAGAAGAAGGACCGGCCAACUACGUGCCAGCAGCCGCCGUAAUAC
rnacentral:rRNA from 1 species